GAUGAACGCUGGCGGCGUGCCUAAUACAUGCAAGUAGAACGCUGAAGGAGGAGCUUGCUCUUCUGGAUGAGUUGCGAACGGGUGAGUAACGCGUAGGUAACCUGCCUGGUAGCGGGGGAUAACUAUUGGAAACGAUAGCUAAUACCGCAUGACAACAGUUAUUGCAUGAUAACUGUUUAAAAGGGGCAACUGCUCCACUACCAGAUGGACCUGCGUUGUAUUAGCUAGUUGGUGAGGUAACGGCUCACCAAGGCGACGAUACAUAGCCGACCUGAGAGGGUGAUCGGCCACACUGGGACUGAGACACGGCCCAGACGCCUACGGGAGGCAGCAGUAGGGAAUCUUCGGCAAUGGACGGAAGUCUGACCGAGCAACGCCGCGUGAGUGAAGAAGGUUUUCGGAUCGUAAAGCUCGGUUGUAAGAGAAGAACGAGUGUGAGAGUGGAAAGUUCACGCUGUGACGGUAUCUUACCAGAAAGGGACGGCUAACUACGUG
rnacentral:rRNA from 1 species